CCUACGGGGGGCUGCAGUGGGGAAUCUUGCACAAUGGGGGAAACCCUGAUGCAGCGACGCCGCGUGAGUGAUGAAGCCCUUCGGGGUGUAAAGCUCUUUCGGCAGGGACGAUAAUGACGGUACCUGCAGAAGAAGCUGCGGCUAACUACGUGCCAGCAGCCGCGGUAAUACGUAGGCAGCAAGCGUUGUUCGGAAUUACUGGGCGUAAAGAGUGCGUAGGCGGUUUGGCAAGUUUGGUGUGAAAUCUCCCGGCUUAACUGGGAGGGUGCGCCGAAAACUGCCAGGCUAGAGUGUGGGAGAGGAAAGUGGAAUUCCUGGUGUAGCGGUGAAAUGCGUAGAUAUCAGGAGGAACACCUGCGGUGUAGACGGCUUUCUGGACCACUACUGACGCUGAGGCACGAAAGCGUGGGGAGCAAACAGGAUUAGAUACCCUUGUAGUC
rnacentral:rRNA from 1 species